rnacentral:rRNA from 1 species
UACAGAGGUGGCAAGCGUUGUUCGGAUUUACUGGGCGUAAAGGGAGCGUAGGCGGCCGGGUGUGUCGAAUGUGAAAGCCCACAACUCAACUGUGGAAUGGCAUUCGAAACUACCUGGCUAGAGUACUGGAGAGGAGAGCGGAAUUCUUGGUGUAGCGGUGAAAUGCGUAGAUAUCAAGAGGAACACCGGUGGCGAAGGCGGCUCUCUGGACAGAUACUGACGCUGAGGCUCUAAAGUUAGGGGAGCAAACAGGAUUAGAUA